GCAGUCGAGCGGACAGAUGGGAGCUUGCUCCCUGAUGUUAGCGGCGGACGGGUGAGUAACACGUGGGUAACCUGCCUGUAAGACUGGGAUAACUCCGGGAAACCGGGGCUAAUACCGGAUGGUUGUUUGAACCGCAUGGUUCAAACAUAAAAGGUGGCUUCGGCUACCACUUACAGAUGGACCCGCGGCGCAUUAGCUAGUUGGUGAGGUAACGGCUCACCAAGGCAACGAUGCGUAGCCGACCUGAGAGGGUGAUCGGCCACACUGGGACUGAGACACGGCCCAGACUCCUACGGGAGGCAGCAGUAGGGAAUCUUCCGCAAUGGACGAAAGUCUGACGGAGCAACGCCGCGUGAGUGAUGAAGGUUUUCGGAUCGUAAAGCUCUGUUGUUAGGGAAGAACAAGUACCGUUCGAAUAGGGCGGUACCUUGACGGUACCUAACCAGAAAGCCACGGCUAACUACGUGCCAGCAGCCGCGGUAAUACGUAGGUGGCAAGCGUUGUCCGGAAUUAUUGGGCGUAAAGGGCUCGCAGGCGGUUUCUUAAGUCUGAUGUGAAAGCCCCCGGCUCAACCGGGGAGGGUCAUUGGAAACUGGGGAACUUGAGUGCAGAAGAGGAGAGUGGAAUUCCACGUGUAGCGGUGAAAUGCGUAGAGAUGUGGAGGAACACCAGUGGCGAAGGCGACUCUCUGGUCUGUAACUGACGCUGAGGAGCGAAAGCGUGGGGAGCGAACAGGAUUAGAUACCCUGGUAGUCCACGCCGUAAACGAUGAGUGCUAAGUGUUAGGGGGUUUCCGCCCCUUAGUGCUGCAGCUAACGCAUUAAGCACUCCGCCUGGGGAGUACGGUCGCAAGACUGAAACUCAAAGGAAUUGACGGGGGCCCGCACA
rnacentral:rRNA from 1 species